rnacentral:misc_RNA from 1 species
CACACUCCUCACUGUUGGGAUUGGUUUCUGAACUGCAUUUAGAGGAGCACCAAAAAGAGAAUUAAGAAAAAAAAGGAAAAUAUCUAUUGCAGUAGGAAUUGUUGGGCAGCAAUCAGAAAUUGCUCUCUUCAGAAAAGUCGACAUAGCUUCUUCUUUUUCCCACUUAAUAUGCGGAAUUCAAAUGAGCACCUGUCACUUAGCAAGAGCCAACAAAAUCGUGUUUGUGUUUUUGCAAUUUUAUGAUUGAUAAUGUAUCUAAAAGGAAGUUAUUCCCGCAAAAGUCAGAUAUUGUAAUUGCAAAAAGAGAAAUGGUAAAUUUGCAAUACUAAAACGCAGUUCUCAGCUCAUAGAGUAAUGAAUUCCCAUUUAAGCUCUUAGUAGAAGGAGAGGGAGAAGGAGAAGAAGAAGA